UACAGAGGGUGCAAGCGUUAAUCGGAAUUACUGGGCGUAAAGCGUGCGCAGGCGGUUUUGUAAGCCAGAUGUGAAAGCCCCGGGCUUAACCUGGGAAUGGCAUUUGGGACUGCAAGGCUGGAGUGUGGCAGAGGAGACGUGGAAUUCCUGGUGUAGCAGUGAAAUGCGUAGAUAUCAGGAGGAAUACCGAUGGCGAAGGCAGGUCUCUGGGCUGACACUGACGCUCAUGCACGAAAGCGUGGGGAGCAA
rnacentral:rRNA from 1 species